rnacentral:sRNA from 1 species
AUGCACCACCAGUACACUCCGCUCACCGCGCGCCAUCACCUGACGACCGCUCGCUACGUCUUGUUAGCC